UACGUAGGGGGCAAGCGUUGUCCGGAAUCAUUGGGCGUAAAGCGCGUGUAGGCGGCCCGGUAAGUCCGCUGUGAAAGUCCAGGGCUCAACCCUGGGAUGCCGGUGGAUACUGUCGGGCUCGAGUCCGGAAGAGGCGAGUGGAAUUCCUGGUGUAGCGGUGAAAUGCGCAGAUAUCAGGAGGAACACCAAUGGCGAAGGCAGCUCGCUGGGACGUGACUGACGCUGAGACGCGAAGGUCAGGGGAGCAAACGGG
rnacentral:rRNA from 1 species